CUAUCAAUCUGUCAUGUAUUAGCCAUAAGGGCUCAUGCAAUUAAUCUAUAAUCCGAUGAAUUUGUAGCCCGAUGAUCAACUAUAUGACCGGUGACCAAUAACCCGAAAAAAAUUGUGUUUCAUCAACGGAUCUUCUCUUCAUAAUGCGAUGAACUUUAGCCGGUUUCGAAUUACAUUGCAGUAGAUUCAUUUGGGAAAUACAACCAACAAACUUCCCCUCUACAUCACAAACCUGUCUGGCUUUAAACAUAGGCUACCAGCUAGCAACUACAAACAUGAACAAUACAGAACUGCUUCAACUGCAUGCAUGAACUCCCAAUGAGACUGUUAACUUCUGCAGCAAACCUAAGUCUGCUUUUGUAUUCU
rnacentral:lncRNA from 1 species